AUGGGACGUAGUAACUCCACCUUACUUCUGAUUACUGAGUCUGGUGUUGAUAGAACAACAAUGAUAAUUCACAUCACCAGGUGGACUCUGCUGGUUGUGAUGCUGAUUCUUCUGCUUCUCUUUUGUCUGUGGACGAGGAAGAAGAAAGCUGUGAGCUCCACCAUUGAACCACGUGAGUCCAGAGAGGCUGUGGAGGUGAGACAUUUGUCCUCAGAGACAGAACUCACCAAAGGGUCAUCGUCUGUUGUUAUUAAGUCAUGAAGAUAAUUCAGAAGUAACUUCAUCACUAACAUCUUUCUCCUUUUGAACCACCAAUAUUUAUUUACCACGUUUACUGCAAAUGUCCUUUGAAUCCAAAGAGCGAUUUAAAGGACAAAGAGUCGUAUUGACCAUCAGCUAAGCCCCUCCCCUUGGUUACUGUUGCUAGGUCUGUCCAGCUUCAGCAUCACAGCACGUAAACAUGGCGGUGAAAUGUCGGGAUGCAAACCAGCAACGUUUACAUUUCAGUCAUACAGACUUUUACUAAAUACGCUUGUGUCUUCAUCAGAAGCACAUUUAGGAAAAGAUUAUGAAAUACUUGGUUAAGUUCAGGCAACAAAACUACCAGAGUUUAGGAAUAAAUAUUAGUUAGCGUUAAAAUAACUAAUUUAAAGUACUGAAGUCACGAGACAAAGUUGUACUUGUUGUUUCACACCAGGAACAAACAAGGAUCUCCUGGGUGACAGAUUUAUGUUUCUUGCAUUAAUGAGAAUAAUUCAUAUUCGACUGUCAUGCUAAGCUAGCUAACGCUAUUAGCAUCUUACCUCGGAGCAAACAAAGGACUUUUUAUUGAUCGUUGAUGGAUUCAGUCUUCCACAUGUUUAAUCCAUAAGUGACAUCAACCCUCUAAAGGCCUCUGGUCCCUAGUUACGGUUG